AUUGAACGCUGGCGGCAUGCCUUACACAUGCCAGUCGAACGGUAACGGGCCUUCGGGUGCCGACGAGUGGCGGACGGGUGAGUAAUACAUCGGAACGUGCCCGAUCGUGGGGGAUAACGAGGCGAAAGCUUUGCUAAUACCGCAUACGAUCUACGGAUGAAAGCAGGGGACCGCAAGGCCUUGCGCGGACGGAGCGGCCGAUGGCAGAUUAGGUAGUUGGUGGGAUAAAAGCUUACCAAGCCGACGAUCUGUAGCUGUUCUGAGAGGAUGAUCAGCCACACUGGGACGGAGACACGGCCCAGACUCCUACGGGAGGCAGCAGUGGGGAAUUUUGGACAAUGGGCGCAAGCCUGAUCCAGCCAUGCCGCGUGCAGGAUGAAGGCCUUCGGGUUGUAAACUGCUUUUGUACGGAACGAAAAGCCUUCUUUUAAUACAGGAGGGUCAUGACGGUACCGUAAGAAUAAGCACCGGCUAACUACGUG
rnacentral:rRNA from 1 species